UGAUAGAAUCUGCUAGAGAUAGCGGAGUGCCCUUCGGGGAGCUUGGAAACAGGUGCUGCACGUCUGUCGUCAGCUCGUGUCGUGAGAUGUUGGGUUAAGUCCCGCAACGAGCGCAACCCUCGUCACUAGUUACUAACGGUUCGGCCGAGGACUCUAGUGAGACUGCCUUCGUAAGGAGGAGGAAGGUGAGGACGACGUCAAGUCAUCAUGGCCCUUACGGCCAGGGCGACACACGUGCUACAAUGGGAUGUACAAUGAGACGCAAUACCGCGAGGUGGAGCAAAUCUAUAAAGCAUCUCUCAGUUCGGAUUGUAGUCUGCAACUCGACUACAUGAAGCUGGAAUCACUAGUAAUCGUAGAUCAGCCAUGCUACGGUGAUACGUUCCCGGGUCUUGUACUCACCGCCCGUCACACCAUGGGAGUUGAUUUCACCCGAAGCGGGGAAGCUAAACUGGCUACCCUCCACGGUGGAAUCAGCG
rnacentral:rRNA from 1 species